rnacentral:lncRNA from 1 species
ACUCUGAAGAUUUGAGAGGUUCUUCCUUCAGAGAAGUGAUGUGGUUUGUAGCAGAAUGAAUUUCCUGGUUUUACUUUGGCCCUGACUAGAAAGGCUUUUCAUUUCCUGAGGAUGAUGAGUUCUAUUGAUUGGCAGAAAUGAAUUAAGAGCUUGAAGAUUGAAUUUGUGGAUGUGAAAAAUCAGAAAAAGAUGUAAAUGCUGUUUUCCUGAGGCCAAGGGAGCUCUGCAUCAAAGUGAAAAGCUACGGUAAAACCCUCUGCAAGCUCCUCUGGACAGCAGCAGCACCCUCAGCACUGCUCAGCACCAGCUGAAAAUGCUUAAAUGUGGAUUUUCAUCUUGGUUGUGAACGCUGAAACCUGAGAUGGUCAUGGAGAAUCCUGCCACGUGAUUAAUCAAUUCAGAGAGAGAAAAUUUGUGAAAUAAACCCCAACAGUGCCAUGUUCCUGUGCUGGGUACCCUACAGUGGGAGUGGAUGAUGGAGCCAAGGUAGAUACAACACCAGAGGAAGAGAGAAAAAACCCAACUCAUCUGCCAAAUAUAGGCAAGACAUCCCACAAAAUGCAUAGAAAUGAGGAUGAUUUUCCUGUGCUUGAUCAAAGAGUUGAAUUAAUUUGUGUCAGAAGUUGGAUUCCAGAAAGCACUUAUUAAAAGUGAGUCAGAAAUCAAUUCUGUUUGUUUUCCUCAAAUAUACUUUACAUAAAAGAAAUUUAAUUUUAGUGAAUU